rnacentral:rRNA from 1 species
AAAUUGAAGAGUUUGAUCAUGGCUCAGAUUGAACGCUGGCGGCAGGCCUAACACAUGCAAGUCGAACGGUAACAGGAAGAAGCUUGCUUCUUUGCUGACGAGUGGCGGACGGGUGAGUAAUGUCUGGGAAACUGCCUGAUGGAGGGGGAUAACUACUGGAAACGGUAGCUAAUACCGCAUAACGUCGCAAGACCAAAGAGGGGGACCUUCGGGCCUCUUGCCAUCGGAUGUGCCCAGAUGGGAUUAGCUAGUAGGUGGGGUAACG